rnacentral:misc_RNA from 1 species
GAUGAAGAACGUAGCGAAAUGCGAUAAGUAAUGUGAAUUGCAGAAUUCAGUGAAUCAUCGAAUCUUUGAACGCACAUUGCGCCCGCCAGUAUUCUGGCGGGCAUGCCUGUCUGAGCGUCAUUUCAACCCUCAUGCCCCUAGGGCGUGGUGUUGGGGAUCGGCCAAAGCCCGCGAGGGACGGCCGGCCCCUAAAUCUAGUGGCGGACCCGUCGAGGCCUCCUCUGCGAAGUAGUGAUAUUCCGCAUCGGAGAGCGAUGAGCCCCUGCCGUUAAACCCCCAACUUUCCAAGGUUGACCUCAGAUCAGGUAGGAAUACCCGCUGAACUUAAGCAUAUCAAUAAGCGGAGGA